rnacentral:snRNA from 1 species
GUACUUGCUUGCUUAGCACACACACUAAAAAGUGAAAUCAUAUACAGAAGAUGAGCACAGGCUCUGUUCCAGGCUAUCACACCAAUUUAUGAAGCAUUCUAUAUUGUU